rnacentral:rRNA from 1 species
CCUACGGGUGGCAGCAGUGAGGAAUAUUGGUCAAUGGACGAGAGUCUGAACCAGCCAAGUAGCGUGAAGGAUGACUGCCCUAUGGGUUGUAAACUUCUUUUGUACAAGGGUAAACCUGAAUACGUGUAUUCAGCUGAAAGUACUGUACGAAUAAGGAUCGGCUAACUCCGUGCCAGCAGCCGCGGUAAUACGGAGGAUCCAAGCGUUAUCCGGAUUUACUGGGUGUAAAGGGAGCGUAGACGGCAGCACAAGUCUGGAGUGAAAUCCCGGGGCUUAACCCCGGAACUGCUUUGGAAACUGUGCGGCUGGAGUGCAGGAGGGGUAAGCGGGAUUCCUAGUGUAGCGGUGAAAUGCGUAGAUAUUAGGAGGAACACCGGUGGCGAAGGCGGCUUACUGGACUGUAACUGACGUUGAGGCUCGAAAGCGUGGGGAGCAAACAGGAUUAGAUACCCCGGUAGUC